UACGUAGGGUCCGAGCGUUGUCCGGAAUUAUUGGGCGUAAAGGGCUCGUAGGCGGUUUGUCGCGUCGGGAGUGAAAACACGGGGCUUAACCCCGUGCCUGCUUCCGAUACGGGCAGACUAGAGGUAUGCAGGGGAGAACGGAAUUCCUGGUGUAGCGGUGAAAUGCGCAGAUAUCAGGAAGAACACCCGUGGCGAAGGCGGCUCUCUGGAACGCAACUGACGCUGAGACGCGAAAGCGUGGGGAGCAAACAGG
rnacentral:rRNA from 1 species